AUUGAACGCUGGCGGCAGGCCUAACACAUGCAAGUCGAGCGCGCGGCGGACGGGUGAGUAAUGUAUGGGGAUCUGCCCGAUAGAGGGGGAUCUCUACUGGAAACGAUCGCUAAUCCCGCAACCUCACGGAUGACCCCAGAUGGGAUUAUCUAGUAGGUGGGGUAAAGGCUCCCCUAGGCGACGCUCUCUAGCUGGUCUGAGAGGAUGAUCAGCCACACUGGGACUGAGACACGGCCCAGACUCCUACGGGAGGCAGCAGUGGGGAAUAUUGCACAAUGGGCGCAAGCCUGAUGCAGCCAUGCCGCGGGUAUGAAGAAGGCCUUAGGGUUGUAAAGUACGUUCAGCGGGGAGGCGUUACCCGCAGAAGAAGCACCGGCUAACUCCGUGCCAGCAGCCGCGGUAAUAC
rnacentral:rRNA from 1 species